rnacentral:ncRNA from 1 species
AGAUGAGAGAAACACCCCGUCCGCGGAUCUUCGCGGACGGCGCCGGGUCGGCGCCUCCCCAGCACCGGACCGGCCGUGCCCUCGCGCACACCGGAGCCUCGGGCUCCGGGAUUCUCCACCGGUCGGA